rnacentral:rRNA from 1 species
AACGAACGCUGGCGGCAGGCUUAACACAUGCAAGUCGAGCGCCCCGCAAGGGGAGCGGCAGACGGGUGAGUAACGCGUGGGAAUCUACCCAUCUCUACGGAAUAACGCAUGGAAACGUGUGCUAAUACCGUAUACGUCCUUCGGGAGAAAGAUUUAUCGGAGAUGGAUGAGCCCGCGUUGGCUUAGCUAGUUGGUGGGGCAAAGGCCUACCAAGGCGACGAUCCAUAGCUGGGCUGAGAGGGUGAUCAGCCACACUGGGACGGAGACACGGCCCAGACUCCUACGGGAGGCAGCAGUGGGGAAUAUUGGACAAUGGGCGCAAGCCUGAUCCAGCCAUGCCGCGUGAGUGAUGAAGGCCCUAGGGUUGUAAAGCUCUUUCACCGGUGAAGAUAAUGACGGUAACCGGAGAAGAAGCCCCGGCUAACUUCGUGCCAGCAGCCGCGGUAAAAC